UUAUACACUGAAACCAUUUGUCUAGUUAAAUGGUUUGAUACUGUUAUACACUGAAACCAUUAUUAUAGUUAAAUGGUUUUAUAUGAGCAUUAGUGCCAAGAUGUUAUAUGAUAGAAAUUUAGCAAGUGUACUAAAUAGCCGUCAAGUAGUAUAAUAAAAUCGUUCUCUCCGCAGGGAUUGUUGUAAAUCAAUUGUAAAUUGAAGACAUACUCAUGUAAAUUGACAUAAAUUGUAAAAAGGGGGUUCUUGUUUGGUUUCAAGUUUAAAUUUUAAACUUUAGAAUUUCUUUGGUGUUUAGAUUGAUGUAAGAAAAGCGAUUGGUCCUUUUUGGGUCAUCUAAUUACUAUUUCUCUUGGUAACGCCAUGUAUGAUAACGAA
rnacentral:lncRNA from 1 species